CCGNNUGCGGUCGGUUUACAGGUGGGUGCAUGGUUGUCGUCAGCUCGUGUCGUGAGAUGUUGGGUUAAGUCCCGCAACGAGCGCAACCCUCGUUCUAUGUUGCCAGCGCGUUAUGGCGGGGACUCAUAGGAGACUGCCGGGGUCAACUCGGAGGAAGGUGGGGACGACGUCAAAUCAUCAUGCCCCUUAUGUCUUGGGCUUCACGCAUGCUACAAUGGCCGGUACAAAGGGUUGCGAUACUGUGAGGUGGAGCUAAUCCCAAAAAGCCGGUCUCAGUUCGGAUUGGGGUCUGCAACUCGACCCCAUGAAGUCGGAGUCGCUAGUAAUCGCAGAUCAGCAACGCUGCGGUGAAUACGUUCCCGGGCCUUGUACACACCGCCCGUCAAGUCACGAAAGUUGGUAACACCCGAAGCCGGNGCCUAACCCCUUGUGGGAGGGAGCUGUCGAAGGGGACGGGNGGAUAAG
rnacentral:rRNA from 1 species